UACGGGGGGAGCAAGCGUUGUUCGGAUUUACUGGGCGUAAAGGGAGCGUAGGUGGCGGGGCAAGUCAGGUGUGAAAUCUCGGGGCUCAACCCCGAAACUGCACUUGAUACUGCCUCGCUUGAGUACUGGAGAGGAGACUGGAAUUUACGGUGUAGCAGUGAAAUGCGUAGAUAUCGUAAGGAAGACCAGUGGCGAAGGCGAGUCUCUGGACAGUUACUGACGCUGAGGCACGAAGGCCAGGGGAGCAAACGGG
rnacentral:rRNA from 1 species